GAUGAACGCUGGCGGCGUGCCUAAUACAUGCAAGUCGAGCGAAUGGAUUAAGAGCUUGCUCUUAUGAAGUUAGCGGCGGACGGGUGAGUAACACGUGGGUAACCUGCCCAUAAGACUGGGAUAACUCCGGGAAACCGGGGCUAAUACCGGAUAACAUUUUGAACCGCAUGGUUCGAAAUUGAAAGGCGGCUUCGGCUGUCACUUAUGGAUGGACCCGCGUCGCAUUAGCUAGUUGGUGAGGUAACGGCUCACCAAGGGAACGAUGCGUAGCCGGCCUGAGAGGGUGAUCGGCCACACUGGGACUGGGACACGGCCCAGACUCCUACGGGAGGCAGAAGUAGGGAAUCUUCCGCAAUGGACGAAAGUCUGACGGAGCAACGCCGCGUGAGUGAUGAAGGCUUUCGGGUCGUAAAACUCUGUUGUUAGGGAAGAACAAGUGCUAGUUGAAUAAGCUGACACCUUGACGGUACCUAACCAGAAAGCCACGGCUAACUACGUGCCAGCAGCCGCGGUAA
rnacentral:rRNA from 1 species